UCUUUCAGUGAUGGAUCAUUUUGACCAACCACCCAUCAUUACCCACCACUGAUUUCAUCUCCAAGAGUUGGGAAUUGAGAGGGAACAAUUGAAAAAUGGUUUCGGAAGUCAGUUGCAGGAGCCUGUCUGUAACGAUUCAUAAAAUUUUCAACUUGGGUUGGGUUAUUUGAGGGAAAAGGCUGGGCAUGCUAGCAAGCUACCUAGGAAUAAGAUUGAAACGGGUUUCCAAAGAUGGCAUCGCAGGCUUUGAACCUUUUGAAGACCGAGCUUCCAAUUGAGCCGGAUUCCCUAGUUGUGUCUAACGACGUGGUCACCGGUCUCGUUUUGGUGGACGUUGUCAAUGGCUUCUGCACUGUUGGAGGUGGGAAUCUGGUAAGCAUCUUUACCAUCU